rnacentral:sRNA from 1 species
GCGGUGGUGGCUGCGGCGGCGGCGGCAGCGGGAGCAGCAUGGAUUGGGGCACUGAGCUGUGGGAUCAGUUCGAGGUGCUCGAGCGCCACACGCAGUGGGGGCUGGACCUGUUGGACAGAUAUGUAAAGUUCGUGAAAGAACGCACCGAAGUGGAACAGGCUUACGCCAAACAACUGCGGAGCCUGGUGAAAAAAUAUCUGCCCAAGAGACCUGCCAAGGAUGAUCCUGAGUCCAAGUUCAGCCAGCAACAGUCCUUCGUACAGAUUCUCCAGGAGGUGAAUGACUUUGCAGGCCAGCGGGAGCUGGUGGCCGAGAACCUCAGUGUCCGUGUAUGUCUUGAGCUGACCAAGUACUCACAAGAGAUGAAACAGGAGAGGAAGAUGCACUUCCAAGAAGGGCGGCGGGCCCAGCAGCAGCUGGAAAACGGCUUCAAACAGCUGGAGAAUAGUAAGCGUAAAUUUGAGCGGGACUGCCGGGAGGCAGAGAAGGCAGCCCAGACUGCUGAACGGCUAGACCAGGAUAUCAACGCCACCAAGGCUGAUGUGGAGAAGGCCAAGCAGCAAGCCCACCUUCGGAGUCAUAUGGCUGAAGAAAGCAAAAACGAAUAUGCAGCUCAACUGCAGCGCUUCAACCGAGACCAAGCCCACUUCUAUUUUUCACAGAUGCCGCAGAUAUUCGAUAAGCUCCAAGACAUGGAUGAACGCAGGGCCACCCGCCUGGGUGCCGGGUAUGGGCUCCUGUCGGAGGCUGAGCUGGAGGUGGUGCCCAUCAUAGCCAAGUGCUUGGAGGGCAUGAAGGUGGCUGCAAAUGCUGUGGAUCCCAAGAACGACUCCCAAGUCCUUAUAGAGCUGCACAAGUCAGGUUUUGCCCGCCCGGGCGACGUGGAAUUCGAGGACUUCAGCCAGCCCAUGAACCGUGCACCCUCGGACAGCAGUCUGGGCACCCCCUCGGAUGGACGGCCUGAACUCCGAGGCCCGGGCCGCAGCCGCACCAAGCGCUGGCCUUUUGGCAAGAAGAACAAGACAGUGGUGACCGAGGAUUUUAGCCACUUGCCCCCAGAGCAGCAGCGAAAGCGGCUUCAACAGCAGUUGGAAGAACGCAGUCGUGAACUUCAGAAGGAGGUUGACCAGAGGGAAGCCCUAAAGAAAAUGAAGGAUGUCUAUGAGAAGACACCCCAGAUGGGGGACCCCGCCAGCUUGGAGCCCCAGAUCACUGAAACCCUGAGCAACAUUGAACGGCUGAAAUUGGAAGUACAGAAGUAUGAGGCGUGGCUGGCAGAAGCUGAAAGUCGAGUCCUUAGCAACCGGGGAGACAGCCUGAGCCGGCACGCCCGGCCUCCCGCCCCCCCGACUAGCGCCCCGCCAGACAGCAGCAGCAACAGCGCAUCACAGGACACCAAGGAGAGGUGAGGGGUGACGCCAGAGUGGGUCUGUUCCCAGGGUCCCAGGAGGGCCUGUCUUUAUCUGCCGAAUUCUCCCCAAACAGCUCUGAAGAGCCUCCCUCAGAAGAGAGCCAGGACACCCCCAUUUACACGGAGUUUGAUGAGGAUUUCGAGGAGGAACCCACAUCCCCCAUAGGUCACUGUGUGGCCAUCUACCACUUUGAAGGGUCCAGCGAGGGCACCAUCUCUAUGGCCGAGGGUGAAGACCUCAGUCUUAUGGAAGAAGACAAAGGGGACGGCUGGACCCGGGUCAGGCGGAAAGAGGGAGGCGAGGGCUACGUGCCCACCUCCUACCUCCGAGUCACGCUCAAUUGAACCCUGCCAGAGAUGGGAAGAGGGGGGCUGUCGGCUGCUGCUUCUGGGCCACGGGGGGCCCCAGGACCUAUGCACUUUAUUUCUGACCCCGUGGCUUCGGCUGAGACCUGUGUAACCUGCUGCCCCCUCCACCCCCAACCCAAUCCCACCUGUCACUCCGGACGGACCCGCUGUGCCUUCUACAUCGUUCCACCAUUGAUGUACAUACUCAUGUUUUACAUCUUUUCUUCCUGCCGCUCGGCUCCGGCCAUUUUGUUUUAUACAAAAAUGGAAAAAAAAAAAAAAGAAAUUAUAUAAAGUUCCUGGAGUCGGUGU